rnacentral:sRNA from 1 species
GCUGGGCAUGGUGGUGAAUGCCUGUAAUCCCAGCAGUUGGGGAGGCUGAGAUAGGAGGAUUAUGAGUUCAAAGGCAGCCUCAGCAAUUUAGGCCUUAAGCAACUCAGUGAAACCACAUCUCUA